GUAUGGUCAGUAUCUGAUAAGUCCUGAAGAGACUUUUCUCCUUUACAGUGUCAUUGUGUGUUGUAGACAUAACCUCCACAUGAUAACUGCAGGCUGCACAAACUGCCUGUGACGAUGUGGAGAGCUGUAUCAAAAGACCUCAUUUGACUCUAAUGAUGUCUUUUCCUUCAUCAAAGGAACUUAUAAAACUGAAUUUUCUGAUGAGUCACUUGGUUCAAGUAAGAACGCAGAGAUUAUCAUUUAUCAUGCUGAGAUUUGGGCAGCACAUCAUCAAGCCCUCCGUGGUCUUCCUGAAGACUGAGCUCUCCUUUGCUCUUGUGAAUCGCAAGCCGGUGGUCCCAGGCCGUAUCCUUUUGAGCAGUGCCUUGGCCAUGGGUGCCUGUGUUCUGUGGAGAAGCUGAGGAAGGUUGGCAUGCUCUGAAGGCCAGCAGACAACAUAUUGAUCUUUGGAUUUCUGUUCAGGAUGCCAUAAGGAGAACUAGCACAACAGGAACACAGCAACAUUUGUAAAUUGAUUGAAUGCAAUACGUAAUGACAGAGACAAACAUCAGAUCUAUGGCAAUACUAUAUUAUACAAAGCAUUUUUCAACAGUUUAUUGAAUUAGUUAUUAAAAGAAAAAAAAAAAACAACAUGCUUUCCAUCCGGGAA
rnacentral:lncRNA from 1 species